AAACUCUUUAAUUGUAAUGUUUCCCUCCACCUCUUGGUAUCUAUAGCAGUUCUUUACUUGCUUCCAAACCAUAGAUACUUUACAAAGCAGGAAGAGGAUAGUCUUACAUUAAAAUUGUCUACUUUUUUUUUUCACUUGCAUUUUAUUUAUCGUGUUUACUUUUUGUUUAUUGUGAAUAAUACAUUGAGAAUUACAUAAAACGAGAUAUUUUUUCCAUUGAAAAAAAAAGAAAAAAAAAGAUCACUUGACAGUCUUGAGUAUUCUCAAUCAUCACUGAUAAUACCAUUAUGCCUAACAAAACGAAAAAAGAAAAGCAAACACCAGCAAAAACGACUAAUGCGAAAGGUAGUGCGAAGGAAAGUACUGAAAAUACAGAGAGUGAGAAUGCCAAAAAGAAAGCUUCUGCGAAUACUGAAAAUCAUCCUCCUACCACCCAACUAACAAAAAUAAAAUACUCAGGUCCUGCACACAUAAAAAAAGACAAGCGUCAAAAUUCUUCAAGAUUCAGUGUUUCUAAAAACCGAGAACUGCAAAAAUUAACACCAAUGAGGGAUGCUCCUUUGACUGAACGCGAACAGCUGUUCAUCCAAAAAAUCCAGCAGUGUGGUGUUUUGUUUGACUUUGUACAAGACCCACUAAGUGACUUAAAAUGGAAAGAAGUAAAACGGGCUGCUUUAAAUGAAAUGGUAGAAUAUGUUUCACAAAACAGAGGUAUAUUGACUGAACAUAUAUAUCCUGAAGCAAUACAGAUGUUUGCUGGAAAUUUAUUUAGAACAUUACCACCUUCCUCAAAUCCCAGUGGAGCUGAAUUUGAUCCUGAGGAAGAUGAACCAACUCUAGAAGCUGCUUGGCCACAUUUACAGCUUGUAUAUGAAUUUUUUCUACGGUUCUUAGAAUCUCCAGAUUUUGUACCUAACAUAGCAAAACGGUAUAUAGAUCAAAAAUUUGUAUUACAGCUAUUGGAAUUAUUUGACAGUGAAGACCCUCGAGAGAGGGAUUUUCUUAAGACUAUUCUUCAUAGGAUAUAUGGUAAAUUUCUUGGUCUGAGGGCCUAUAUCAGGAAACAAAUAAAUAAUAUAUUCUAUAGGUUCAUUUAUGAAACAGAACAUCAUAAUGGUAUAGCUGAAUUAUUAGAAAUCUUGGGAAGUAUUAUUAACGGGUUUGCUUUGCCUUUAAAAGAAGAACAUAAAGUAUUCUUACUCAAAGUAUUAUUACCUCUUCAUAAAGUUAAGUCUUUGAGUGUAUAUCACCCCCAGCUAGCAUAUUGUGUGGUCCAAUUUCUUGAAAAGGAUCCUAGUUUAACAGAACCGGUGAUAAUGACAUUAUUGAAAUUUUGGCCAAAAGUCCACAGUCCUAAAGAAGUCAUGUUUUUGAACGAAUUAGAGGAAAUUCUGGAUGUCAUUGAGCCUGGAGAGUUUGUAAAAGUUGUACAGCCAUUAUUUAGACAAUUGUCAAAAUGUGUUUCUAGUCCUCAUUUUCAGGUUGCUGAAAGAGCCUUGUACUUUUGGAACAAUGAGUACAUCUUAAGUUUGAUUAAUGAAAAUGUGGCUGUUAUUCUCCCUAUUAUGUUUCCAGCACUUUAUAUGAGUAAAGAACAUUGGAAUAAAACAAUCCAUGGUUUGAUAUAUAAUGCAUUAAAAUUGUUCAUGGAAAUUAAUCAGAAAUUAUUUGAUGAGUGCACCAUUCAGUAUAAAGCAGAGCGACAGAAAGAAAAAGAGCGAAAUAAACAGAGAGAUGAUGCUUGGAACACAUUGCAAAAUUUAGCCAUGACAAAUCCUAAGUUUGGAAAAGUACUGCAUAAAUCUUCAUCUGACAGUGUAUCGAAUCCUGAAAAUAAUGGUCACAGUAACCCUAAUUGUGUAUCAGAAGAAGAAGGAGAUGUGGUAGCCAGUUUAGACAAAUUAGAAUCAGAAGUUCAUGCGUAAAAUACCAAGUGGAUAUAAAUUUAAAUUAUAAGAAUUAUAAGAAUGAUUCCACAUUGCUGAAGAAACUACAAAAAAGAAAAGGUAAAGAAAAACCGCUUCUACGAAGAAAAUCAGAAUUACCACACGAUAUGACAACAUUAAAAGCUUUGGAAACUCACAAGCGACCUGAAGAAUUUCUGUGUUCAGCAACUGAGCAACAAGC
rnacentral:misc_RNA from 1 species